GCCCUUAGUUGCCAGCAUUUAGUUGGGCACUCUAAGGGGACUGCCGGUGAUAAGCCGAGAGGAAGGUGGGGAUGACGUCAAGUCCUCAUGGCCCUUACGGGCUGGGCUACACACGUGCUACAAUGGUGGUGACAGUGGGCAGCGAGCACGCGAGUGUGAGCUAAUCUCCAAAAGCCAUCUCAGUUCGGAUUGCACUCUGCAACUCGAGUGCAUGAAGUUGGAAUCGCUAGUAAUCGCGGAUCAGCAUGCCGCGGUGAAUACGUUCCCGGGCCUU
rnacentral:rRNA from 1 species